rnacentral:rRNA from 1 species
GUAGGUGGGCAAGCGUUGUCCGGGAAUUAGUUGGGCGUAAAGCGACGCGCAGGGCGGUCCUUUAAGUCUGAUGUGAAAGCCCACGGCUCAACCGUGGAGGGUCAUUGGAAACUGGGGGACUUGAGUACAGAAGAGGAAAGCGGAAUUCCAAGUGUAGCGGUGAAAUGCGUAGAGAUUUGGAGGAACACCAGUGGCGAAGGCGGCUUUCUGGUCUGUAACUGACGCUGAGGCGCGAAAGCGUGGGGAGCAAACAGGAUUAGAUACCCUGGUAGUCCACGCCGUAAACGAUGAGUGCUAAGUGUUAGGGGGUUUCCGCCCCUUAGUGCUGCAGCUAACGCAUUAAGCACUCCGCCUGGGGAGUACGGCCGCAAAGGCUG